rnacentral:rRNA from 1 species
CAGUAGCCGCGGGAACACGUAGGGUGCAAGCGUUAAUCGGAAUUACUGGGCGUAAAGCGUGCGCAGGCGGUUUUGUAAGACAGAGGUGAAAUCCCCGGGCUCAACCUGGGAACUGCCUUUGUGACUGCAAGGCUAGAGUACGGCAGAGGGGGAUGGAAUUCCGCGUGUAGCAGUGAAAUGCGUAGAUAUGCGGAGGAACACCGAUGGCGAAGGCAAUCCCCUGGGCCUGUACUGACGCUCAUGCACGAAAGCGUGGGGAGCAAACAGGAUUAGAUACCCCGGUAGUCCCUGUCUCUUAUAC